GAAUGCUGACAUAAGUAACGAUAAAGCGGGUGAAAAGCCCGCUCGCCGGAAGACCAAGGGUUCCUGUCCAACGUUAAUCGGGGCAGGGUGAGUCGACCCCUAAGGCGAGGCCGAAAGGCGUAGUCGAUGGGAAACGGGUUAAUAUUCCCGUACUUGGUGUUACUGCGAAGGGGGGACGGAGAAGGCUAUGUUGGCCGGGCGACGGUUGUCCCGGUUUAAGCGUGUAGGUGUGUGUUCCAGGUAAAUCCGGUUCACUUUAACACUGAGGCGUGACGACGAGGCACUACGGUGCUGAAGCAACAAAUGCCCUGCUUCCAGGAAAAGCCUCUAAGCAUCAGGUAACAUCAAAUCGUACCCCAAACCGACACAGGUGGUCAGGUAGAGAAUACCAAGGCGCUUGAGAGAACUCGGGUGAAGGAACUAGGCAAAAUGGUGCCGUAACUUCGGGAGAAGGCACGCUGACACGUAGGUGAAGUGAUUUACUCAUGGAGCUGAAGUCAGUCGAAGAUACCAGCUGGCUGCAACUGUUUAUUAAAAACACAGCACUGUGCAAACACGAAAGUGGACGUAUACGGUGUGACGCCUGCCCGGUGCCGGAAGGUUAAUUGAUGGGGUCAGCGCAAGCGAAGCUCCUGAUCGAAGCCCCGGUAAACGGCGGCCGUAACUAUAACGGUCCUAAGGUAGCGAAAUUCCUUGUCGGGUAAGUUCCGACCUGCACGAAUGGCGUAAUGAUGGCCAGGCUGUCUCCACCCGAGACUCAGUGAAAUUGAACUCGCUGUGAAGAUGCAGUGUACCCGCGGCAAGACGGAAAGACCCCGUGAACCUUUACUAUAGCUUGACACUGAACAUUGAGCCUUGAUGUGUAGGAUAGGUGGGAGGCUUUGAAGUGUGGACGCCAGUCUGCAUGGAGCCGACCUUGAAAUACCACCCUUUAAUGUUUGAUGUUCUAACGUGGACCCGUUACCCGGGUUGCGGACAGUGUCUGGUGGGUAGUUUGACUGGGGCGGUCUCCUCCUAAAGAGUAACGGAGGAGCACGAAGGUUGGCUAAUCCUGGUCGGACAUCAGGAGGUUAGUGCAAUGGCAUAAGCCAGCUUGACUGCGAGCGUGACGGCGCGAGCAGGUGCGAAAGCAGGUCAUAGUGAUCCGGUGGUUCUGAAUGGAAGGGCCAUCGCUCAACGGAUAAAAGGUACUCCGGGGAUAACAGGCUGAUACCGCCCAAGAGUUCAUAUCGACGGCGGUGUUUGGCACCUCGAUGUCGGCUCAUCACAUCCUGGGGCUGAAGUAGGUCCCAAGGGUAUGGCUGUUCGCCAUUUAAAGUGGUACGCGAGCUGGGUUUAGAACGUCGUGAGACAGUUCGGUCCCUAUCUGCCGUGGGCGCUGGAGAACUGAGGGGGGCUGCUCCUAGUACGAGAGGACCGGAGUGGACGCAUCACUGGUGUUCGGGUUGUCAUGCCAAUGGCACUGCCCGGUAGCUAAAUGCGGAAGAGAUAAGUGCUGAAAGCAUCUAAGCACGAAACUUGCCCCGAGAUGAGUUCUCCC
rnacentral:rRNA from 1 species